rnacentral:misc_RNA from 1 species
UUUGUUUUUUAAUUUAUAUCUCAGACAUCAUAAUUCAAGUGUUUGAAAUCUUCGGCAAGCUCUCGCUCGCUCACGCCAACGGUCCGAAAACGGCUCGCCGAAGCAACUGGUCAUAUUACAAUGGGUGGGAGGUUGACUGUUUCCAGUCACACUCGUUAAUGAUCCUUCCGCAGGUUCACCUACGGAAA